rnacentral:lncRNA from 1 species
CCAACGGCCGGAAGCGGCUAAGACACUACUCCUGCCAAAUACCCUGCAGUAGCGCACCGCGCUAUGUCUCCCUCCAGGGAUCUGUACCACUCCCAAUCCUGUUUCGUGCUGGGAUUGUAGUCUUGUAAACCUACAACUAACACCUGGGUGCGGAUAAGAGACUACAGCUCCCAUCAUUCCCAGCAAAGGGCCGUUCUGCACCGAGCUCUUUCAGGAUUCCAGUGCAGUUCCGCCAUGCGGAGGGAAGCUUGGCUGUUCACAAACCUCUCCUGCACUCGAGGAGACAGCUUGGCCGGGGCAGCUGAUCUCACCUUGUCAUUGUGACACGGUGUCUCCCCAACGUGCCGACUUCAUGACCUGUCGUGCCCAAAGUUUACUUUCUCGCAGAACAGGUAGAGGCCAAGAGCUUCUCACAGCUUCCGCCGCAGGGCUGCCAUGAUUAACUCUUAAGUACUCCACGCUUCUGAAACGGGCGUAGGCACAGCGUCAGUUCUGUACAGUGCGGACGCAGCAGGACAGAAUCUCCCUGGGCAUCUUUCCGGAGCAUCAGUUUUACUGCAAGAUUUUAAGAAACAAAUUUAAUUGAUUUCCAAGUUAAGAAAUUAAACCUUGAAAACUAGACUAAAAAGUCAUCUGCACCUGACGUAACAGACUUUCUGCAGGAAGAAAACUCUAAGGAGAGCAUAUUGUCCAUUAUUAUAAAUAGUGAAAAUGAGAAAUCAUAGCAAGUCCCUUGAAAACCCUGCCCUGCCAGUCUUCUAAUAGGGCCUUGGUAUGGUUUUAUGUGUAUUUUCUUUUUGAAGUGUGCUCACCUUUUGAAUAUACAAAUUUGGGGUUUUGACCAAAUUUGGCAAGUUUUCGGCUAUUGUUUAUUUGCUUUUGUAUCAUAUUUAAUUUUUCUGUCUCUCCCUCUCCUUCUCGUACUCAGUCAGUCAUUCCACAGGUCUCCAAGGCGCUUUUCAUUUUCUUCAAACUUGUUUCACUCUUCAGAUUGGAUGAUUUCUAUUGCUGUCUUCUGUUUCUACUGUUUAUAAACUCAACGGUCUUUUUAAUUUUUCAUUUCAUUAUCUCUCUAUUCCAUUCUUUUCAUCAUUUCCAUUUCUCUGCUCAGGCUCCACAUGAGUUAAUUCAUUAUGAGGAUGUUUUCCUUUAUCCCCAUGAACAUACUAUACUUAUAAUAGCUGCUCUCAAACCCUUGUCUGCUGAUGACAUCGUCUUGGACAUCUUAGAAUUAGCUUCUGCUGCCUGCUUUUUAUCUUGUGUAUAGAUUACAUUUUAACGUUUCUUCACACAUUUCAUGAAUUUUAAUAUUGUGUACUAGAAAUUAUAAAUAGUAGUUAGAGAGACUUUAAAUUCUGUUGUAUUCCUUUGAAGAGCAUUGUUAUUUGAAGAGGGGUUAAUCUGACUGGAUUCAAACAGCAAUACCUACCUCCCCUACAGUGGACACAGUUGAAAUCCUCAUUCGGUGAACACACACACGCAUGUAUUGUAUAUAGUGGUGCAUUUCUGUGUAACUAUAUAUAUUUUGUGCAGAUUUUAUCAUUGUUACCUGUGAGAGUGUUCAACAAGCUACUCUGGCAUUACUGAAAGUCAGAACCUCAGUUUUGUUUGCUUAUUGGAUUUGAAUACAUAAUGCCUUUGUUUUCUUUUGUAACAUUUUUUCAAUUUGAAGUCUUAUUUUGUCUGGUAUUAAUAUAGGACAACCCAAAUCUCUUUUGCUUAUUAUUUGCAUGAAAUAUCUGUUUUUCUCUUUUCACUUUCAACCAGUUGUGUCUUUCAAUCUAAUGUGAGUCUUGUACAAACAUGAUAGUUGCAUCAUGGUUUUUAGUCUGUUCUGCUGAUCUCUG